UUUUCUUGGGUAUUUUUCUUGGGUCAAGUGUGAUCCUUACCCUUCUUUCUUCGAAAAGAUCUCUUUCCUGUGGAACAGCGAACCGCAGCUUCAAGCUAGAACACCUCUCACACUCCAUGAGACGACGAGGAACAUACGCGGUGCUAGCCGGAACUGGAGAACCGUUGACUUCGUACAUUGAUGCCUAACGAUACGAGAGUCUUAGGAAAAUAAACAGGGACGAAUGAGGAAGAGGAAAGGGUGGAGCACACCGCCGAAGGCACUCGACACCUUCGUCCCAGAUCGUGUAACGUCGCUGGAUUUCUUGAUGGAUUAAUUGCCAGUUGGCGGAGCCAACAUGGAAAAGAACGGUCGAGUUUCGUCGUUGAAAUAAUUAAAAAGCGCCCAUGCCGCCGAUCGAAGCGCUGACCAACAGACAAAUUGAAACUGGUUUUAACUGACCGCUGUUGGUUCUAUCCGGGCUGCUCGGUUGUCUUGAGGAGCACCUUGGAUCAUCCUUCUUCCCUCCAUCGGAGACUUCAAAGAGACCUCACGAAGACGCGUUUGUCUCUCUGUUUAUUGCUUUAAUCUAAUCAGCUUCCGUUGAAGAAUUUCAGGGCAUCAAUGGAGUCCAAAUAUCCGCAAACAGAACGAAAAAUAAGGGAAGAUCGUUGAACUGGAUUCGAUUAGAUUUGACGACUCUCCUAUCUCCACUUGGUGUUUGGAAAUACACCUCUGGAAAAACGAUCACAAAGUCCAUCCCUUUACGUGAGUAUAAGUAAGGAACAACUUGAAUGUGACAAACGAAAU